rnacentral:lncRNA from 7 species
AAAAGGAGGGGAGCUGCGGCCCGAGCGGCGGGUUGCCCCUCUCGAAAGUGUUCUUGACUAUUUCAAACUUAUCUUUGCAACUGUAAGGCCGGAAGCUUUAUGACUGUGAAAGCUGAGACUAACAUCAUCUUCUAAGUAAAGGAUUGGAGCAUGAAAGAUGAAGCAGAAAAAUCACAACCUGGUGAUUUCUAAGGAAGAAGCAAUGCUUUUGAUCAACUGCUACAUAUUGAAUGACUGAUGACUGUAAGUACUGUACAAAUGUGAGAAACACAGUACCCUGUGUACUUUGCAACUACAAUAAGAACUUCUGCCUAUUGGUCUUUUGUCUGUGAGAAAUUGUGCAAAACUUUUUGUCAGAUCUUUUCCCCAUAUUUUUCUAUUAAGGGUUGGUUUUCAAUCACACAAGAAAAAAAAACAAUUUUAGUUCAAAACUGUAAUUAUACUUUGAGUUAGUUGGAGUAUAAGCCUUUAUCUUUUAAACGGAGUGAACUGUACAAGAGGUCAGGAAGACAUUUAAACAUAAUUUCAUUCAUUUUAUUUUUAUGAAAGUAUCCAUACUAGUAUUAGAAUCUACUCCAUUUCUACUGACUGAGUCCAGAUGAUCAUCCUCUGAAGAACUCUUAAAUUACACACUGUAGAUUUAGGUGGAGGAAGUGUUCACCUGUUCCCAAGGAGCGCUUUGUAGCUGCUGCUGACUUGAAGUGUGUAGUCAGACCUAAGGAUGCUUACAGCUGUGCUGCCAAGAUGAGGACAUUACGAUGGGAUAGAGGCUUUCCAUUUUCUCUUGUAUAAAAAGAACCCAAAUCAGAAGAGAUCAUGGUAGUGUAAAGGAGCGCUGUAGUUUCUAGAACCCAAAACAAAACUACAAAGAUAUGCAUUAUUCAAAGUAAAAAUGACUAAAGACCAUGGCAAAUCUAAGUUUAUAUCACUAGGAAAUGGUGCUUCUCAGAAUGUAAGAUGAUAACGAGGACUGUAUGCUUUGUUUUUGUAUUAUCAAGAGAGACCACAAAAACUCGCUGUAAAUAUUUGAGUUUCUUUUGCUGUCAACAUAAAAAGCUGACCCAGCUUUUUCUUUCCUUUCAAGGGAUUAACAAAUAACUCUUAAGUCAUACACAAAUGUCGGAUCUAUUAUUCAUAGCUAAUUUUCUAUUAUACUGUUAAACAAAGCCUCUGGGAGUGAUAGUUUUUGCUGGACGCCCCUGGUUACUGUGUUACAUUGUAGAAAAGCACUACUGUUAGUUCUUGCUGGGUUUAUUUCUGACUACAAUCUCAUACAAUGUGAAAUGAAAUGUUAAAGCAGCCUGGAUGGACAAAUGAUCAGUGCAACAGUGGCUCUGAAACAAACGGAUGUACUCCUUUAAGUUGCCUGAAUGGGAGCUUGUGAGAAGAAGGAUUACUGAAAGCUAAUACAUACCUCAGUACAAAGCUGGAGGUGGGCUCUGUGCUCACACACAGCUGUAUUUUAAACAUCUCACUUAAGAUGCAUUCAAAUACGACACACACUUUUUGUUUGUAAAGUGUAUUUCAACAUUUAAGUCCCACAACAAAUAUCUGCCAUGUAUAUUCAGCAAAGAACCAACGUUUCUGAACCAAUGUUUAUGCAUUUUUUUUGCACGUGAAAAUGAAGCCUUUUAAAAGAAGGUCCUUUGCUUACUGCAAAAGUGAGUUGGUACAAACUGUGAAGGGGCAUGUAUUACAGAUCUUCAAAGCUUUUACAGUACACAGGCUUAUCAGUUUUAAUCCUGUAACACCUAGAUUAUUCUUAAAAUACAAUGUUUAUUUUUGGACCCUAUUUACUGCUUUAAAUCUAAUAAAAGCACGUGUUACAUAAACUCUUCUAUACUCUUAAUUUUCAUUUUGCAAGCUGAAAUGCUUUAAAAAACAAAAGAAAUGUUGGCUUCAACAGGAUGACUCAAAGACCUGAAAAUAACAAUUUUACACUAAUUUAAUUUUUUUGGUUAAAAGUAGGAUUUCCUCUCUUAUCAUCUUAAUUAGUUCUCCUACUGUAAACUAACUCUGUGUGUGCUAAUAGAGAUUUUGUUACCCGAUUAAGUAUCCGCACAGGAUAAAAAGCUUGCAGGUAAAUCUUAAUGUUCCUGUGUUUUCAGCUUUAUGUUUAAACAGCUGGACAAUAAAUGGGAGGCAGCAGCAGUUAGUGGGUGCUGGAGUGGGAGAGGAUCAAACAUUUGAGACUGGAGAGCAUGAUAAAAGGAUAGAACUUUGUUUCUGCUAAGGAAGAAGAGAUUGGCUCACUGUUCUUUAUCAUGUUUACAGUGAGAAAUAGAUCUCAGCCAAUAAAGUACUUAAAAU